rnacentral:lncRNA from 1 species
GAGCUGCACAGGGACGCCACUUGGGGUGUUCCACUCUCCCCGCUCCAGCAGCCAGGUGGGUGAAGAAGCCUAAAAAUCAUCCAGCAAAGGGCAAGAAGCACCCAGCCCUGAACUACACUCCCACCCUAGCCAUUCCCUUUAAGGACAGACUGCCCCGUUUUGCGUGUUUUCUGCUACUAAUAUAACAGGACAAGGAUGUAAAAUAAAAAAGGAUAAGCCCGUCGUGGUGACACACCCCUAGAACCCCACAACUCAGGAGGCAGGAGGGUUGCUAGGAAUCUGAGGCCAGCCUGUGCUAUACAGUGAGACCUUGCCUCAAAAUAAUAAUACUAGGGAUGAGUGGGGAACAAGAGUCGUGGAGGGGUCCCCUCCCAGCUGCCCCUCCAGCCGUGCCAGCCCCGCAGCCGCUGGCCCUUGUGCCGCUGAGCCGCCGCCCGGCUUCCUCUUCUGCCCCCUUCUGAGCGUAACCUUGGGCAGGUGCUUCUCCGUCACCUCUGUGUCCCCUACGUCCCCCAGCCCUCUUCUGACUUCUGAUUCCUCCUCCUCCAGUUCACCUCCCACGUGGACACACUGCCGACAGCGGUCUCCCCUGAGGUCCAUUUCCUGCCUGGAGCUGUCACCUGCACCACACUUUAGGGUGCUCGAGGUUGCAAUUAAGCAUUACUUUACAAAAAAAGCAGGAGCUACAAUUACCAGGUCACGGCAACCCCAUGAGAAACCCGACCUCUGAGCCAGGUAACAGCGAGAGGGUGAACUGUUCACCGUACGGGACAAACAGAGUUAGCCCUACUGGGGCUGCGGGAUCCAAGAAGCUUCUGCACCAAUGUCCUGAACUAGAACCUGGAAUAUGAAGAGUGGAGAAACAUAUUCUUGGUCAACAGCCAAAGGAGACACUUCGGGUUUAAAAACCAACCCAACGGCUGGGGAUGCAGCUCAGAGGUACAGGUCUUGCUUAGUAUGUGUGGGGACCCCGGUACAACCUCCAUUACCACACACACACAAAAAAAAUCCCAAACCACACAUGUGCACUCUUUGAAGGAUGUACAAUAUGCAAAUAAUAAUUAUACUGGUUACCUUCAAGGACGAAUGGACUAAGAUUUCAUUAUGUACUUUUUAGAAAUUCUAUCCUGAGUACACAUACUACCUCUUUUUAAAAAUUAAUUUAUUAAGGGACUGGGGAUUUAGCUCAGCGGCACAGCGCCUGCCUGGCAAGCGCAAGGUCAUGAGUUUGAUUCCUGGUACCGGAAAAAAACAAAAAAACACAAAAACAAACAAAAAAAUUAACUUAUUAAAAUCAAACUUCAUGCAACUUUCCAAUAAACAGGUUUACUAGAGGUGGGCAAACUGCCCAGACUCAGUAUACCUAACUGUCCACAUGCUGACCUGGAUUUACUGUUUUAGGGGAGUUUGCUCAGCUAUGCAUCAUCAGGAUAGGUGUCUUAGCUAGUACAUGGUUGUAAAAUUUGCCAAAAUUCGCCCAGCUAUGGCUUUAAGGUGUGUGCAUCUGCUGUGUGUUCUUGUUAUGGUUUGUGUCUGCAUGUCCCCUCAAAUCCUCAUGCAUCAUGGGACGGGCUUUUAAGAGUUUAUAAUUGAUUCUUGGUCCAAUGAUGGGAUUAUGGAUGUGAGGGCUACACCUGCCCUGGGGCGGAUAGUUUGCAUACAAUGUAAGGGAGGGAAAGAGGCUGCCUGCUGCCCCUCCUCCCUUUUGCCCUCGUUGCCUUUGCUGUUUUCUGCCGAACAUUUGCCCUCUGCCAUGUGCCACUCUGCCUCGGAGCCAACCAAGUAUGUACUGAAACAUCCACAAACUGUGAGCUAAAUAAACCUUUCCUUCCUUAAUUUUGCGCGCUGGGUAUUUUGUCUCAGCAACGAGAGAAAAGUAGCUGAGACAGUUCUGUCCUGCGCUUCAAUUCAGAAUUGCUAACGAUGAUGACAGCCCCAGCCCUUGUGUACAAAUAAGCCGGUUUGAGGGCUUGCUGGACCGGUAGUUCAGAGAAGGCUGCUGUUUUCAGAAAACAACACUAUGUGGACUUUCUGCAAAACCGUGCUCUUUGGAAAACACCACUACAGCAUGUGCUUUUGGUUAAGCAUUCCACAGCUGAAACGCAACUCUGCGCUGAAACGCUGAGAGGAUGAGGCACAAUCUUGGCCAAGGUCAAGCUCUGCUGAUGGGUCGGGGGGAUGGCAGCCAACUGCUCCGCACUUAUAUAAUGUUUCAAAAAGAAAAACUUACCCCAAGUCAUCUUCUGUUCCUUUUCUGAGCCAACGUUAGUCCCGUUCAUUGCAUCCAAGAACUCAGAGAAAGCCGUAUGUGCUAUGGCUCAGACCACCCCUCCAGGGCCCAACACCCGUAUCUUGAUUUAAAGGAAACGAAGCCAACUGACUGGGCUUUCACCAGCUCUAAGGGAUGCGAGUGAGCUGUCUGAACCUUGCACACAGUUAGCAAUCUUCUAGGAGCGGGCACAGAAAUGUACUUGAGCCUUCUUUUCGGCUAGCUGAUUAUUUUUUCUGGAAUGACAACAAAAAAGAUCCAUAUUUGGUAGAAAUCAGGACUCCCUUUAGGCAGUGACGGCGAACUUUUUAGAGCUUUCAAUGACAUAAACAGCCUGCUGUAGCACACGUGCCAUAGGUUCGCCACCACU